AUGGAGAGAGAAAAGUGGAAUAUCACUCGCAGCAAUUUAAGGAAAAGGGCUGUUAAAAGAGUCACCCAGUUGUUUGAAUCUUUGAAUGAUGAGGAGGACAGUAGUUUCAUGGAUUGUACUAUCGAAGAACAUACCAUUGAACAUGAAGUAGUUACUUCAAGCUUUGUUUUGCCACCAAUUUGUGGAUCAGAGAGUGAUGGGGGAAGUGAAUCAACAAGUGACGAGGAUAGCCAUGUUGAUAAAAGUGGGGAUGUUCCUAAAGAUUUAUCGGGAUGUUUGCGAGACUGGGCAACACAUUUUGGCAUUUCCUUGAUUGCUUUGUCUGCCCUUUUGUCAAUACUGAAAGCCCAUCACCCAUCUCUACCAAAAGAUGCAAGAACAUUACUUCAAACACAGAUAAGACAUAGUAUUGUUUCCUUGGGGAGUGGAUCAUUCCACUAUUUUGGAAUACAGAAAAUGUUCAGCCACAUCUUUCAGAAGCUUACAUCAGUUGUCCAAAGUCAUCACAGAUUCAAAUUACAAUUGAACAUGGAUGGUCUUCCAAUUUUUAAAAGUUCCGGUUUACAGUUCUGGCCAAUUUUAGGAAUACUCCAGGCUUACACUAGAAAACCUGUGUUGAUUGCCCUUUACAGUGGGAACUCAAAGCCUCAGUCAUUGUCAGAAUAUCUAAAGGAUCUGGUCUCUGAGUUGAAAUCCUUGAGCACUGGUUUUGUUGUUAAUGGAAAGACCUUCUUCUUGACUGUGCGCUCAGUAAUUUGUGAUGCUCCUGCGAGGGCCUUUAUUAAGGGAAUUAAGUCACACAAUGGAUACAGUGGUUGUGAUAAAUGUGUACAGUCAGGCAUUUACAUUAAUAAUCGCAUGACAUUUCCUGAACUUAAUGCUAGAGUAAGAACAGAUGUAUCUUUUUCAAAUGCAGAGGAUGAAGACCACCAUGUACAACAUUCCCCAUUUUGUGAAACAUCUAUUGCUAUGGUUAGUGGAUUUCCACAUGACUAUAUGCAUUUAGUGUGCUUAGGUGUGGUGCGGCGUCUGUUUGAUUUGUGGAUGGGAACCUGCGGCAAGUUGAAUUACCGUAUUUCAUCCAGACAAGUGUCCUUCAUUUCCAGCAAACUGCUUGCUCUCAAAAGUUACAUACCCUCAGAAUUUGCUAGAAGACCAAGGGCACUUGAUGAGAGGUUACGAUGGAAAGCAACAGAACUUAGGCAGUUCUUACUUUACACUGGUCCAGUAGUUUUAAGGGAUGUGCUGACUACUGAGGUUUACCAAAAUUUUAUGUUGUUGUCUGUGAGCAUAUACAUCUUGGCAAGUCCAACAUAUUGUUUGCUGUUAAAUGACUUUGCAAACACACUACUUAGAUCAUUUGUUAAACAUUUUGGGGAACUCUAUGGCCAGGGUUUUUUAGUGUACAACAUACAUGGUCUGAUUCAUCUCAGUGAUGAUGUGAAGGUGCAUGGCCACUUAGAUUUAAUAUCAGGGUUUCCUUUUGAAAACUACCUAAAAAAAAUU
ensembl:lncRNA